rnacentral:rRNA from 1 species
UACGUAGGUGGCGAGCGUUGUCCAGAAUUACUGGGUGUAAAGGGCGUGUAGGCGGGAGCACAAGUCAGAUGUGAAAUACCGUGGCUUAACCACGGGGCUGCAUCUGAAACUGUGUUUCUUGAGUGUCGGAGAGGAAAGUGGAAUUCCCAGUGUAGCGGUGAAAUGCGUAGAUAUUGGGAGGAACACCAGUGGCGAAGGCGACUUUCUGGACGAUAACUGACGCUGAGGCGCGAAAGCGUGGGGAGCAAACAGG